GAUGAACGCUGGCGGCGUGCCUAAUACAUGCAAGUCGAGCGAACAGAUGAGGAGCUUGCUCCUCUGACGUUAGCGGCGGACGGGUAGUAACACGUGGAUAACCUACCUAUAAGACUGGGAUAACUUCGGGAAACCGGAGCUAAUACCGGAUAAUAUAUUGAACCGCAUGGUUCAAUAGUGAAAGACGGUUUUGCUGUCACUUAUAGAUGGAUCCGCGCCGCAUUAGCUAGUUGGUAAGGUAACGGCUUACCAAGGCAACGAUGCGUAGCCGACCUGAGAGGGUGAUCGGCCACACUGGAACUGAGACACGGUCCAGACUCCUACGGGAGGCAGCAGUAGGGAAUCUUCCGCAAUGGGCGAAAGCUUGACGGAGCAACGCCGCGUGAGUGAUGAAGGUCUUCGGAUCGUAAAACUCUGUUAUUAGGGAAGAACAAAUGUGUAAGUAACUAUGCACGUCUUGACGGUACCUAAUCAGAAAGCCACGGCUAACUACGUG
rnacentral:rRNA from 1 species